GCCAACACAUGAUAAGGUUUCAGAAUUAGCAUACAGUUGUUGUUUCUGGAGCUUUGUUGAUACUAAUUAUGAACUAGGAUGGUCUGAGGC
rnacentral:snoRNA from 18 species